GACGAACGCUGGCGGCGUGCCUAAUACAUGCAAGUCGAACGGGCCUGCUCUUUUUUGUGUGGGUUGAGUGGCGAACGGGUGAGUAUCACGUGAGUAACCUGACCCUUGCUCCUGGACAACGCUCUGACCGGGGUGCCAAUACGGGGUGUGCUGGUGCUGCCGCAUGGCGGUGCCGGGAUAGGUUCCCCUUUUUCUUGGGGUUCUGGCGGGGGAUCGGCCCGCGGCCUAUCAGGUUGUUGGUGGGGUGAUGGCCGACCACGGCGGUGACGGGUAGCCGGCCUGGGAGGGUGGACGGCGACACUAGGACUGAGACACGGCCCAGACUCCUGCGGGAGGCAGCAGUGGUGGGUAAUGCGCGAGGGGCGGAAGCCUGACGCAGCGACGCCGCGUGAGGGACGGAGGCCUUCGGGUUGUGGACCUCUUUCGCCGAUGGAGAAGGCGCCCCCGUGUGGGGUGCUGACUGUAGCCGGGUUAAGAAGCGCCGGCUAACUACGUG
rnacentral:rRNA from 1 species